GUAGCGCAGCCCUGGAUAUCUAUGCACUUUGAUUGUGUUUCAUUAAAACACAAGUUUCCCAGCUACUCGCACUGUUUUGAGAAGAGGGUGAAACUUCAGGUGGAGCCUAGCUGGAAGAGGUGGAAUGGAAAUGCGGCUUUGAAGGUGUACACUGGACAUCCUUCCAGGUGACCUGGAAGUGCAUAAGGAAGAGGUCAGCACCCGACUGUGUGCUCAGAGUUCCUGGAAGGUCAGGCACUGGUUCCUCGAUGGGCAGAAUGAGGUCUAGCCAGCCGCAAGUGCUUUGUAAGUAACUGGAUUGCAAAGAUGCAAGCUCUCAGCCACUGCCUACGUGAACCUACCACCUCCAUUUUUCCACAAUGGACUCUACGUCUCUGGAACCAUAAGCCCAAAAUAAAU